CGUAUGAACUCAAGGAAUCAGGCACCAUUUCUUCUCCUUCUCUCACGUCAACAACCCAGAAGCCAAGAACAGCUCCCCUUCCACGACAUUCCUCUUUGAAACCUUCAAAUCCGUAUUUCUCUAAAUUUCUUUGAAGAAAAUGUCAAUGGCUGCGAGGGCAUGACCCGUUCUUCUUCCCUCUGAGCUUCGAAGGACCUGCAUGCGAAAUCAAAUCAUCUGAAAAUUUCCCUCCUUGAUCUGGAUUCUGCCGAAUUAGGGGAAAUUCGAGUGAGUUUGGGCAGGUUGUGUAGACAUUAAAUUCAAGCCAAAAACAAGCAUUGAAUCUGUUCUUUCUCGUUUCUUCUUAUUGCUAACAGAAGGAGGCGACAUUAUCAAGGAGCCCUUCUAGUGAUCGCGGAGUACCAGACUUAGCUUCUUGAAGCAUUCUUUUGUUUGAUUACAGAUCGAAACCAGUCGGGAACGAUGGGUUAGCGGUGUUGGAUAGCGUUCCAAGGAUGUAUAUUGAGCUGAGCACGUAGGAAUUUGUAGAUUUGUAUUAGGAUUUUGGAUAAAUGUAUAUUAUAUUUGGUUGUGUUGGUUAUAUUCGACUUGUAGAGAAUUGUAUGAUUAUCUUGUGUUUUAGCUAGAUGUUUGUUUGAGAUUUAGUUGAGUUGGUCACGUUAAAGAGCUUGUGACCCCUUUGCUCAAGUUUUGGAAGUAUGAUUUCAGUUUCUUGGGAAAUAAUCCCCGUGAUGACCCUGUUUACUCAGUCAACGGUAAGUCGGGUUGUUAUAACAGUCUCAUAGUGAGACGGUCUCAUAUAAGAUGCGCUAUAUUAAAAAUUAGGUUAAGGGUAUAUUUGGCAAAUGGCCAUUAGGUGGAGUUUGAAUUUUUGGCUAAUUUGACUAGUUAAAAAUAUCGGUUGAAAAGCUAUCAGUUGUUUAAUUCGGCAGUUGCGAAUAUGUUCAAUAAAAAUUUUAUAUCAGUUAGCUUAAAGGUUAUUUAUCAAAUAUUUUCUGCUCGACAAGUAUUGAGCUAAUCAUUUAAGUAUUGCUCAUAAAUGUUUUAAGCAUUUAAUAAAUCUGCAAGC